UGGAAACAUGAUGAACGUUCUGUAACCCUGAGAAACAAGAAAGCCCACGAAGGUGGGGAAUUUCCAAAGAGCUAGAGAACAAGGAAGCAGGUGUCUUUGGAUAAGGGUCAUGAUUAAUGACCAAGCUCACCUGUGCUAUAAAGGGAAGGAGAAAAAUAAACGGGCACUCUCGGUCUCUCUGGGAGCCCUCCCGACUCUAUUUCUGUGUCUUUCUUUUUCCUCAUCCUCACUCCCCCAUUCAGGUGCUGUUCGACAAGUGACGGCGGACUCCAUCAGCUGUCAUCCUACCUGGCCACCUGUGGUGACUUUGUACCCCUCCAUGGGCUUUCUGUCUUUGCCCAGGUCUGCCUCCUCAAGUCCUACAGCUGCUACUAACUGUUUCCCACAACUGCUUGUCAUGGCCUGACGUGAGACGUGUAGCUCAAUGCUGUGGGUAUCUGUAAUUAAGACUGGGAAUAAAAGUGCCUGACUGCUCGUGGUUACCAGGUGAAAUCCAGAGUGCGCAGUGAGGUAAAGCUGAGCUCCUCAACACAUCCCCACACCGUGGAGACAGUGAAACAGCUUCGCACGUGUUCCCGCUCCUCUGGAGUUUGAGAAGCCUCUCGUGUUGGCUGUCCUGGCCUCCCUGGGCCCAUAGAUGAGCUGAGGACCAUCACAGCUGCUCCAGGAAGGUGGAGAAUGUAGGAAGAUGGAUAUGAAGAAAUGGCGUAAAACUCAGCAAAAGAAAGAGGUCUCACUGUGCUGCCCACGCUGGUCUUGAACUCUUGCGCUCAAGUGAUUCUCCUGCCAGACAUGCCUGGCUUCAUGGAAUAAUCUGGAAGCCUGAAGCACCACGACGUUGUGGGUAAUGCCAGGAGACACUCUCAUGGGGUGGCACUGCCCAGAAGCAAAUUGGAUGUGGCUCACAUAGGGUGCUGUGGCCAGGGACUCUGCCCAGAAGUGUUCCCACUGCACAGGCACCUGUGGGUUCCACUGCCCUUGGAGGGCACCCAGCCCUGGCUUUCUGUUAACCCAGCUGGAGCUGCCAUUCCGAGAGCCAAGAACCAGAGCCUGGAGCCAGUCUGCCCAGAGGAGAAGAUGCCCAGCCCCAGCAAGAUUCCAUGUACCCUGCAAACUCGUGCAGCCGUGCCCCAAGAGACACAUUCAUUCCAUGACGAUGGAGGUGACUCAUCGCCAGCGCCAGAGCUGGACUCCGGAACUGCUGCAGUCUUUUGAGCUGUGUCCUUCUGAUGUGCGGUAUCUAAAUCUGAAAAGCAGGGCAGCCUAGGGCAUUAUACAUGUGUUCAGCUGUGGCUCCUAGCUCUUACCUCCUUUCCCAGGCAGGCCCUAGAAACUAGAGUUUUCCCAUGAAACCCAAAAGGACAAGGUUCAGCAAGCUUCAGGAUGGCUGAACUUGUGGGGUCCCAGGAGGGUGUGGUAGCCCAUGCCAUGCGUCUGUGCAUCUCUCCUCUGUAUCCUUUGAUCGCUGGUAAAUGCAGUUCUGCCCGAGUUCCACGGGCAGCUUUAGCAAAUUAAUCAAACCUGAGUGGGGGUGUGGGCACCCAGGCUUAUGCCUGUUGGCCAGAGGAUGGGGCUGUGGCUGGUAUCUGAAGUUGAAGGACAGCCUUAGGGACAGAGUAGCCUUGCACUGGGCCCUUCCAGGAUGAGGCUUGGAACACAAACGACAACCACAUGAGCCCGAGGGAGAAGGCUGCGUCUGCUGCUCCAGGAGAGCAGUGCAGCGGGACUCGCCCUGCGACAGGACCUGAGUGCAGGGCCCACUGCUCGAGCUGCUGUCCCUCUGCGCUGACUUGCAGCUGUGCACAGCACGCUGUGCCUGUGUCCUUGGUCCUCGGCUGUUUGGAUGCGGACGCCUUGUGUCAUCUCCUUGAGUGUGCCCUGUUUAGGCUGCUAACCUUCCCGCAUUCCUGGGCUCAUCCUUCACUGGAGCUGGGCUGCUUCCUUCUUCUGUUCUUCAAAGACUUUUCUCAGCAUCGCCUCUCCCCCGCUUCUGGAGUUCCAAUGACACACUCUUCACACACCCUACCGACCCCGGGCUCCAGAGGCUAUUCUCCUUCUCUUUCCCAUCUUCAUUCCUUCUUGCGAGAUUUUCCCAUUGGCCAGCUCAAGCUGUGGGCCUCCCCUUCUGCACCUCCACUUGCUGUUGAGUCUGGUGAGCCUGUCAUUUUUGUCUGCCUUUUCAAUGAUGGUGAUCAUGUUUUCAUUUCUAAAAUUUCCAGGUGGCUCUAUAUCCUCGAUUUCUUUUCAGGUACUUUCUAGUCUAAUAUUUAAGUGCUCAACAUGGCUCCAUUGAGCAUUUCUGUACAGCUGCUUUAGAGCACUUGUUGGAUAAUUUCACACCUUGUCCUCCUGCACUGGGUUCCUGAACAUGGCUGGUCAAGAUGCUGAGCGAUCCUGAUUUGCAAUGUUUUGAAUCUUUCUUUGAGACUCUGGGUCUUUCAUCCACCACACGGAGACUGCUGGUCUUAGCCUUGGUAGGCAGUGGACUUAAGGAUGCUGCUCCAGGACCUGCCGUGUGCUCACGGGGACAACACUGUGGCAGGCAGUGGCCACCUCCAGGACAAUGGACACUGUGAGCUUCACUGUGGGAGAUGCAGAAGAUGCCACCAGCACCAGUGUCCCCGUCCUUGAAGGGUCCGACCAUGGGCAGGAAGGACACCUGGCCACUCUCCUCAGCACUCAUGGAGUUCAGCCUUCUCUCACCUUUGCUGGCACCCAGUUCCCGCCUGUCUCAUCCUGUCUUGCCCAUCUUCCCUACUGCUACUGUCUUCCUCUUAUUGCCUAUAAACUUUACAUAUUAAAGUCAGUAGUAAUAGAUUAAUCCC
ensembl:lncRNA